AAAUGCCGCCUUCUUUUCUGAGAAAACACCAAAUGGCGGAUGACGCCGGUGCAGUCGGGGGUCCCGGAGGCCCUGGUGUUCCUGGGAUGGGGAACCCCGGUGGCUUCUGCGGAGGUUUCGGCAGUGGCAUCCGGGGCCGGGGUUGCGGCCAUGGACCGGGCUGGGCCGAGGCGGCGGAGCUCGCGGAGGCAAGGCCCAGGAUAAGGAGUGGAUGCCCGUCACCAAGCUGGGCCUCUUGGUCAAGGACAUGAAGAUCAAGUCCCUGGAGGAGAUCUACCUCUUCCCCCUGCCCAUUAAGGAAUCUGAGAUCAUUGACUUUUUUCUUGGGGGCCUCUCUCAAAGACGAGGUUUGGAAGAUUAUGCCGGUGCAGAAGCAGACCCGUGCUAGCCAGAGCACCAGGUUCAAGGUGUUUGUUGCUAUCGGGGACUGCAAUGGCCACGUUGGCCUGGGUGUUAAGUGCUCCAAAGAGGUGGCCACCACCAUCCGUGGGUCCAUCAUCCUGGCCAAACUCUCCAUUGUCCCCAUUCGCAGAGGCUACUGGGGGAACAAGAUCGGCAAGGCCCACACCGUCCCUUGCAAGGUGACAGGCCACUGGGGCACUGGCAUCGUCUCAGCGCCUGUGCCCAAGAAGCUGCUCAUGAUGGCUGGUAUCGAUGACUGCUACACCUCAGCCUGGGGCUGCACUGCCACCCUGGGCAACUUUGCCAAGGCCACUUUUGAUGCCAUCUCUAAGACCUACAGCUACCUGACCCCUGACCUCUGGAAGGAGACUGUAUUUACCAAGUCUCCCUAUCAGGAAUUCACUGACCACCUUGUCAAGACCCACACCAGGGUCUCCGUGCAGCGGACCCAGGCUCCAGCUGUGGCUACAACAUAGGGUUUUUAUACAAGAAAAAUAAAGUGAAUUCAGCCUGUUACUGU